CGCCCACAGGAGGAACUGUUCCAACAGCUUCAAUCAUUUGUUCCUCCCACAGUGGCCAUAGGAAACCACUUAAAGCUCAGCACAGCUCUGUCCUUCCCGGGAGGACCCAAGGCAGCAGAGGCCCAGUGCGGAAGACUGGGAAAGACUGACUCUAGCCCGACCUACCCUGGAACUCUCUGUAUGGUGGUCUUGCUUGCAGCUCUCAUUUCCCAGUUAGCUCUGAGGUGGGACUGGAGGUAGGAGGACUGAAAAAUCAGGAGUGGAGGGCUGGAGGUGAAGCCCCAGACUCGACCUGCAGCACCUCAUAACCUGACCUGGUGGUGCGUUCCUGUAUGCCUAGCCUUGGAAGGUGGAGGCAGGAAGAGCAGGAGUUCCUUGUCAUCUUCAGCUGUGCAGGGAGUUUGAGGCUAGCCUGGGUUAUAUUAGAGCAUGCCUAAAACACAGUUACGAGGAACAAAAUCGGGAGCUCUGGUUUGGGGGACAAGGAAGACUUUAACAAUGUGGUCUGCUGGGUAUCAGCCAGGUGCCCUGAAUCCUGCCACAGCUUAAAGGGCGGUGCUGCCCUGUGUUGGUGGCAGUACUGUGUUAAUGGCCGUACUGUGAGUCCUGAGGUCCUUGCACACAGUAGGUUCUUUAGGCUUCAUUUGCUCUCAUGGUAUGUAUCUGAGGCUGGGACUCAGUGUGCCUGUCUGAGCCUGAGGGCUGGGAAUGUGACAGAACUCUUUGAGGGAGGUGCUGUUUACAUCACAGACUCCCCAGAUCCCUGGGCUGGGUUCUGACAGAGGAUGUUGGUGUAGUAUGGGCAUCACUGUUAGAAGCCUUCCUUACAGCCAAAGCCAGUCCGCAGGCCACUUUAUUUAACCUCUCUGAUCUCUUUCUGCCUUUGUGAACUGGGAAGAGCAAUGCCUACCUUACCCAGUGGUGGUGAGAUAAGACGGCGGGUAAAGUACAAGGCCCGGUACAAAGUACGUACGUACAGCAGCUAAAAAUAAGUAUUUCAGGCCCUCCCUCCUCUCUUUUCCACUCUUGUCAUUUUGCCUCCCUCCCUUUCUUUUUACUUUUCUCUAUGGCCUGUCACCAGCUAGUUCCUCCCUGUUACUUGUUCAUUUUCUAACUCACUUGAUUCCUGCGUUUGUUUUCAAGCCUGCCAGCCUGUGCCUGGCACCCCGAGGCACCCACCAUUGCUGGAGGAAUGGAUGAAGGAGGGGAAGCUGACCUAUAGACAGCCUUCUAGAUACUUCCAAGUCGCAUUGCUCACUAAGGGUUCUUAUGAAAGAACGUGAGGGCUGAUGUACAAAUAGAGCAUAGCACAGACAGACAGAGCACAGACAGACAGAGCACAGACAGACAGACAGCACAGACAGACAGACAGACAGACAGAGCUUGGGGAGUGGGCACAGCACAGACAGACAGAGCACAGACAGACAGACAGAGCUCGGGGAGUGGGCACAGCUCAGACAGACAGAGCACAGACAGAGCUCGGGGAGUGGGCACAGCACAGACAGAGCUCAGGGAGUGGGCGCAGCACAGACAGACAGAGCACAGACAGACAGACAGAGCUCGGGGAGUGGGCACAGCUCAGACAGACAGACAGAGCUCAGGGAGUGAGUGGGUGGACCUCUCAGAGUUCACAGAUGUGAGUGCCAAGUGCAGGGAUGUGAUGUGACUGAGGAACUACCAACCCGGGAAGAAGAAACCACCGGUAAGGCUUUUAAUACAUAUUUUAGAUGUUACAUUACAGAUGUGUGAGUUUUAAUACAUAUUUUAGAAGUUACAUUACAGAUGUGUGAGUUGGUCCUUUCCUUAUACCAAGUGGGUCUCCAGGAUUAAACUCAGACUGUCAGGCUUUGUGACGAGUACCUUGAGUCAUGUCACCUAGUUUUAUUCUUUAUUAUCUGUCUAAGGGCGAAGGUCGUGUUGAAUAACAUCUGUACACUCACCUUACAACUUAUGUUUGAAGCUGUUCAUCCGCCCAUUGAUCCGCAUGCAGUCAGCACAGAGGAUUGUUUGGUCCAUGCUGCCAUCUGGUGGACAACUGGAGCAAGGUUUCUUAGGCCUGGGGAUCGG